AAUUGCAAGUUAAAAAUUUGAUUACUUACAACAGAUAUUAAAAAUAUUAAACGUAAAGAAUGUCUCAACACUUUUGAGCGACAGUAUACACACGUGAAGUUGCAACAUUUGAAAAUCGCAUAUAUAUAGAAAAAUCAUAAAAGGUCAAAAAAUUUCUGUCCCGUUAAAAAUCGUCUAGCUGCAACAUUCGAGGAAUUCCACAACCGAAAGAUAAUAACCGCACGUUUCAACAUGUCUUCAUAACAUCUUGUAACGUGAAAGCUACACGUUUACGUUGCAUUCAUAUCGAUUAAUUAAUCGUUAAACACGACGUUUAAAUGCGAAUACACUUCGUCAACCUCUGACCGAACCGUACACCAAAAAUUGCCAAUUACACCAAGGACUACUCGUCGUAUACCGAAGAUUAUGUUAAAAAGACAUUUAUAAUAUAUA